UUUACACAUGCAAGUCGAACGGCAGCACGGGUGCUUGCACCUGGUGGCGAGUGGCGAACGGGUGAGUAAUACAUCGGAACAUGUCCUGUAGUGGGGGAUAGCCCGGCGAAAGCCGGAUUAAUACCGCAUACGAUCUACGGAUGAAAGCGGGGGACCUUCGGGCCUCGCGCUAUAGGGUUGGCCGAUGGCUGAUUAGCUAGUUGGUGGGGUAAAGGCCUACCAAGGCGACGAUCAGUAGCUGGUCUGAGAGGACGACCAGCCACACUGGGACUGAGACACGGCCCAGACUCCUACGGGAGGCAGCAGUGGGGAAUUUUGGACAAUGGGCGAAAGCCUGAUCCAGCAAUGCCGCGUGUGUGAAGAAGGCCUUCGGGUUGUAAAGCACUUUUGUCCGGAAAGAAAUCCUUGGCCCUAAUACGGUCGGGGGAUGACGGAACCGG
rnacentral:rRNA from 1 species